GAUGAACGCUAGCGGCAGGCUUAAUACAUGCAAGUCGUACGGGAUCCGAGGUAGCAAUACUUUGGUGAGAGUGGCGCACGGGUGCGUAACACGUAUGCAACCUACCUUUAACCGGGACACAACCUUGAGAAAUUGAGGCUAAUAUCCCAUAACACUGCGAAGUGGCAUCACUAUGCAGUUAAAACUCCGGUGGUUAUUGAUGGGCAUGCGCGACAUUAGCUAGUUGGUGAGGUAACGGCCCACCAAGGCUACGAUGUCUAGGGGUUCUGAGAGGAUUAUCCCCCACACUGGUACUGAGACACGGACCAGACUCCUACGGGAGGCAGCAGUAAGGAAUAUUGGUCAAUGGGCGCAAGCCUGAACCAGCCAUGCCGCGUGAAGGAUGACGGCCCUAUGGGUUGUAAACUUCUUUUGUACGGGAAGAAACCUCUGGUCGUGUACCAGAGCUGAUGGUACCGUAAGAAUAAGCAUCGGCUAACUCCGUGCCAGCAGCCG
rnacentral:rRNA from 1 species